rnacentral:rRNA from 1 species
CCUACGGGCGGCUGCAGUGAGGAAUAUUGGUCAAUGGCCGCAGGGCUGAACCAGCCCAGUCGCGUGAGGGAUGACGGUCCUAUGGAUUGUAAACCUCUUUUGUCAGGGAGCAAAGGGCGCCACGUGUGGCGCUUUGCGAGUACCUGAAGAAAAAGCAUCGGCUAACUCCGUGCCAGCAGCCGCGGUAAUACGGAGGAUGCGAGCGUUAUCCGGAUUUAUUGGGUUUAAAGGGUGCGCAGGCGGAAUGUCAAGUCAGCGGUAAAAUUUCGGGGCUCAACCCCGUCGUGCCGUUGAAACUGGCGUUCUUGAGUGAGCGAGAAGUAUGCGGAAUGCGUGGUGUAGCGGUGAAAUGCAUAGAUAUCACGCAGAACUCCGAUUGCGAAGGCAGCAUACCGGCGCUCAACUGACGCUCAUGCACGAAAGCGUGGGUAUCGAACAGGAUUAGAUACCCCAGUAGUC